rnacentral:rRNA from 1 species
UACGUAGGUGGCGAGCGUUGUCCGGAAUUAUUGGGCGUAAAGCGCGCGCAGGUGGGAUCUUAAGUCUAUUUUCGAAGUGCGGAGCUUAACUCCGUGAUGGGAUAGAAACUGGGAUUCUUGAGUACCGGAGAGGAAAGCGGAAUUCCCCGUGUAGCGGUGAAAUGCGUAGAUAUGGGGAGGAACACCAGUGGCGAAGGCGGCUUUCUGGACGGUGUCUGACACUGAGGCGCGAAAGCCAGGGGAGCGAACGGG